rnacentral:rRNA from 1 species
CCAAUAGCGUAUAUUAAAGUUGUUGCAGUUAAAAAGCUCGUAGUUGAAUUUGGGAUCAGACUGUCAGUCAUGCUUCAGUACGCACUGGCAUUAUUGAUUCCUACCUUCUGAAGAACUGCGAUAUCAUUAAUUUGGUGUCAUGAGAAAUCAGGACUGUUACUUUGAAAAAAUUAGAGUGUUUAAAGCAGGCGCACACUUGAAUACAUUAGCAUGGAAUAAUGAAAUAGGACGUUUGAUUCUAUUUUGUUAGUUUCUAGAAUUGACGUAAUGAUUAAUAGGGAUAGUUGGGGGCAUUAGUAUUUAAUUGUCAGAGGUGAAAUUCUUGGAUUUAUUGAAGACUAACUACUGCAAAAGCAUUUGCCAAGGAUGUUUUCAUUAAUCAAGAACGAAAGUUAGGAGAUUGAAGACGAUCAGAUACCGUUGUAGUCUUAACCAUAAACUAUGCUGACUAGGAAUCGGAUGAUGUUAAUUUUUUAAUGACUCAUUUGGCGUCUUACA